GAUGAACGCUGGCGGCGUGCCUAAUACAUGCAAGUCGAGCGAACGGACGAGAAGCUUGCUUUUCUGAUGUUAGCGGCGGACGGGUGAGUAACACGUGGAUAACCUACCUAUAAGACUGGGAUAACUUCGGGAAACAGGAGCUAAUAACGGAUAAUAUUUUGAACCGCAUGGUUCAAAAGUGAAAGACGGUCUUGCCGUCAGUUAUAGAUGGAUCCGCGCUGCAUUAGCUAGUUGGUAAGGUAACGGCUUACCAAGGCAACGAUGCAUAGCCGACCUGAGAGGGUGAUCGGCCACACUGGAACUGAGACACGGUCCAGACUCCUACGGGAGGCAGCAGUAGGGAAUCUUCCGCAAUGGGCGAAAGCCUGACGGAGCAACGCCGCGUGAGUGAUGAAGGUCUUCGGAUCGUAAAACUCUGUUAUUAGGGAAGAACAUAUGUGUAAGUAACUGUGCACAUCUUGACGGUACCUAAUCAGAAAGCCACGGCUAACUACGUG
rnacentral:rRNA from 1 species